rnacentral:rRNA from 1 species
UACGGAAGGCAGCAGUGGGGAAUAUUGCACAAUGGGCGAAAGCCUGAUGCAGCUAUGCCGCGUGUAUGAAGAAGGCCUUAGGGUUGUAAAGUACUUUCAUCGGGGAGGAAAAAACAAAACUAAUAAUUUUAUUUCUUGACGUUACCCGAAAAAGAAGCACCGGCUAACUCCGUGCCAGCAGCCGCGGUAAUACGGAGGGUGCUAGCGUUAAUCAGAAUUACUGGGCAUAAAGAGCACGUAGGUGGUUUUUUUAAGUUCAGAUGUGAAAUCCCUGGGCUUAACCUAGGAACUGCAUUUUGAAACUGAAAUACUAGAGUAUCGUAGAGGGAGGUAGAAUUCUAGGUGUAGCGGUGAAAUGCGUAGAUAUCUGGAGGAAUACCUGUGGCGAAAGCGGCCUCCUAAACGAAUACUGACACUGAGGUGCGAAAGCGUGGGGAGCAAACAGGGAUUUAGAUACC